rnacentral:rRNA from 1 species
GUGGGGAAUCUUAGACAAUGGGGGAAACCCUGAUCUAGCCAUGCCGCGUGAUCGAUGAAGGCCUUAGGGUUGUAAAGAUCUUUCAGGUGGGAAGAUAAUGACUGUACCACCAGAAGAAGCCCCGGCUAACUCCGUGCCAGCAGCCGCGGUAAUACGGAGGGGGCUAGCGUUGUUCGGAAUUACUGGGCGUCAAGCGCACGUAGGCGGAUUGGAAAGUUGGGGGUGAAAUCCCGGGGCUCAACCCCGGAACUGCCUUCAAAACUCCCAGUCUUGAGUUCGAGAGAGGUGAGUGGAAUUCCGAGUGUAGAGGUGAAAUUCGUAGAUAUUCGGAGGAACACCAGUGGCGAAGGCGGCUCACUGGCUCGAUACUGACGCUGAGGUGCGAAAGCGUGGGGAGCAAACAGGAUUAGAAACCCUGGUAGUCC